rnacentral:tRNA from 1 species
GUUAGGAUGGCCGAGCGGUCUAAGGCGCUGCGUUCAGGUCGCAGUCCGGUCUUCCGGGCGUGGGUUCGAAUCCCACUUCUGACA